ensembl:lncRNA
GUUUUGGGAGCUUGGAAUUGCUAUCUAACUCAAUCAGUAACAUCUGUGACUGCAGGGCAGCCUGAGUGGGAACGGUUAGGGGGUUAGACAGAUUUCCUGCAUUUUAAGGCUCUUUUCCUCUGAAGAGACUGCUUCAGGACAAUCCAAUUGCCUUUAAUGCUGCUUCUUCCCUUCUUCAUUUUAACCCUGUCUUUUCUCUCCCUUUCUUCCUCCCCUCCACCUCACUCAAGUUGUUUGGGUUUCAGAAGUAAAAAUGAUUUUAAGGACAUAUGCCAGCAUUUUGAAAAGUUUCAGUUUCAAACACAUGAAAAGGAAAGUCUGAAGGGAUUCCUAGAACUGUACUGCAGCUUGCAGAGGGAGUUAUCAGAAGGAACAAUCUCAAAGUAAGGAAGCCCCUGCUGAAGCUAAGAGCUACAUGAUAUGAAAGGACUGAUUAUGUUUAUAUUAUGUGGUCUCCUGUGAAAAAAUCAAGCCUCCCAGCUAGUAGAGAAAGGUCACUGGAUCUGAGGAAACAACUGACUCAGUGUCUUAAUUCUGAAGGAAAUGAGUCCUUUGUAGAUGAGAGGGAUUUUCUGAUCUAGUUCAGAGAAAGGCAUAGAACUAUGAAAAUAAGUUUUUUAUGUAGGGUUGGAGAAUAAAGAGGAGAAUCAGAAAGACUAGGAAUGGGAAGCACCCUUAAAAAAACUUGGUGGAACGAGAGUGUCUGAAGAGGACAUUUGGGUGACCUACCUUAGCCUGCCUGCAUGCCAGGGGAUGAUCUCCAUCUGUUGGACACAUGUCAUGUGAGCUGCUGACCUGCACUGCAGUAGCACCCUGCAGCACCCGCAAGAUGCUCCGCUGGCUGCUGUGUGAUACGGAGCAAGGAGCACCUGCAGCAGCCUGGAGGAAAAUGGGUCACUCUUGUAGGUACCUUAAAAUAUGAAGGAAAAUUCCUCCUGAAAGCUGUGGAGCUGGAAGCAGUUAUUUAAGUCCUUUUUAUGCAGAAGGGCUGCUCUUGCCUUAGUUCACAGAAAUUAAUGCUGAAGGCACCUGGACUCAAAGGAUGGAAGCUCUGCUCGCUUUUCUCAAGUUGGUUAUUCUGAUAUUUCUGGUGCAUCUUGAAUAUGUAGAAGCAGCAAAACUUGUCUCAAGGAAUAAAGGCAUCAGCACAGGAAGAGGACAGAUGGUGCAUGUUCCUGAAACUGAACCACGGCUCCAUGUUCCCAAAGAAAGUGAAUCCCACAAGGUAGAUGUGGUUUUAAAUGAACUGGGGACACUGACAGUUGAGAAAAGAAGGAAUGCCUCAGGUGAGUGAUUGUCCUGUGGGGUGUCAGACCUGGCCAUCCUUGGUCAAGUUGGCCAUGGGAAAUCUCUCCCCAGGAGGGAUGAGUUGCAGUGGUAUGAAGAGGAGCUGGUGGAGGAGCUCUCUCAGGCUUCCCGCAUUUGCACAAACUGCUUCAUGGUUAUGUUAUGUGCUGAUGCUGUCUUUCUGUUCAUUUCGUUUAAAGGUAGCUUUUAAAAGAAGAGCCUGGAGCAGUUUUGUGCUCACAGGAUGCUCUCUGCUCCUUGCAAUCCUGAGGCCUCAAAACCCACUUCACUUGCCUGGGGGUGCUGAGAUGCUGUACGACUGGCUUUCCUGGGCUGCACUCCAGCUGCGCAGUGUCUUGUGUUAAACUAAUUUAUUCUCUCCAAAGAGAUUACUGGCAUUUAAAUGGUUAUUAAUUAAGGAGAAUUUGUGUUUUUCUCACCUGAUUUUUUUUACAUGCUUGGAAAUAGCAUUUAUUCACG